rnacentral:rRNA from 1 species
CACAUGCUGUGAGCUCGAUGAGUAGGGCGGGACACGUGGUAUCCUGUCUGAAUAUGGGGGGACCAUCCUCCAAGGCUAAAUACUCCUGACUGACCGAUAGUGAACCAGUACCGUGAGGGAAAGGCGAAAAGAACCCCGGCGAGGGGAGUGAAAAAGAACCUGAAACCGUGUACGUACAAGCAGUGGGAGCACGCUUAGGCGUGUGACUGCGUACCUUUUGUAUAAUGGGUCAGCGACUUAUAUUCUGUAGCAAGGUUAACCGAAUAGGGGAGCCGAAGGGAAACCGAGUCUUAACUGGGCGUUAAGUUGCAGGGUAUAGACCCGAAACCCGGUGAUCUAGCCAUGGGCAGGUUGAAGGUUGGGUAACACUAACUGGAGGACCGAACCGACUAAUGUUGAAAAAUUAGCGGAUGACUUGUGGCUGGGGGUGAAAGGCCAAUCAAACCGGGAGAUAGCUGGUUCUCCCCGAAAGCUAUUUAGGUAGCGCCUCGUGAAUUCAUCUCCGGGGGUAGAGCACUGUUUCGGCAAGGGGGUCAUCCCGACUUACCAACCCGAUGCAAACUGCGAAUACCGGAGAAUGUUAUCACGGGAGACACACGGCGGGUGCUAACGUCCGUCGUGAAGAGGGAAACAACCCAGACCGCCAGCUAAGGUCCCAAAGUCAUGGUUAAGUGGGAAACGAUGUGGGAAGGCCCAGACAGCCAGGAUGUUGGCUUAGAAGCAGCCAUCAUUUAAAGAAAGCGUAAUAGCUCACUGGUCGAGUCGGCCUGCGCGGAAGAUGUAACGGGGCUAAACCAUGCACCGAAGCUGCGGCAGCGACGCUGAUGCGUUGUUGGGUAGGGGAGCGUUCUGUAAGCCUGCGAAGGUGUGCUGUGAGG